GACGAACGCUGGCGGCGUGCUUAACACAUGCAAGUCGAACGGAAAGACCCUGCUUUUGUGGGGUGCUCGAGUGGCGAACGGGUGAGUAACACGUGAGUAACCUGCCCUUGACUUUGGGAUAACUUCAGGAAACUGGGGCUAAUACCGGAUAGGAGCUCCUGCUGCAUGGUGGGGGUUGGAAAGUUUCGGCGGUUGGGGAUGGACUCGCGGCUUAUCAGCUUGUUGGUGGGGUAGUGGCUUACCAAGGCUUUGACGGGUAGCCGGCCUGAGAGGGUGACCGGCCACAUUGGGACUGAGAUACGGCCCAGACUCCAACGGGAGGCAGCAGUGGGGAAUAUUGCACAAUGGGCGGAAGCCUGAUGCAGCAACGCCGCGUGCGGGAUGACGGCCUUCGGGUUGUAAACCGCUUUCGCCUGUGACGAAGCGUGAGUGACGGUAAUGGGUAAAGAAGCACCGGCUAACUACGUG
rnacentral:rRNA from 1 species